rnacentral:rRNA from 1 species
GCAGUGGGGAAUAUUGCACAAUGGGCGCAAGCCUGAUGCAGCCAUGCCGCGUGUAUGAAGAAGGCCUUCGGGUUGUAAAGUACUUUCAGCAGUGAGGAAGGUGGAUAUGUUAAUAGCAUAUUCAUUUGACGUUUAGCUUGCAGAAGAAGCACCGGCUAACUCCGUGCCAGCAGCCGCGGUAAUACGGAGGGUGCGAGCGUUAAUCGGAAUUACUGGGCGUAAAGCGCAUGCAGGUGGUUUGUUAAGUCAGAUGUGAAAGCCCGGGGCUCAACCUCGGAAUUGCAUUUGAAACUGGCAAACUAGAGUACUGUAGAGGGGGUAGAAUUUCAGGUGUAGCGGUGAAAUGCGUAGAGAUCUGAAGGAAUACCGGUGGCGAAGGCGGCCCCCUGGACAGAUACUGACACUCAGAUGCGAAAGCGUGGGGAGCAAACAGGAUUAGAUACCCUGGUAG